rnacentral:rRNA from 1 species
CGUACGUCGGGGCAGGAUGCCGGGGUAUUGCUGGGGCGGCGUGCGGGGUCGGGACGUAGUGGGCGUAAAGGGGUCGUAGGCGGCCGGUCGCGGCGGCGGUGAAAUCCCGGGGCGUAACCCCGGGCGUGCAGUGGAGACGGGCUGGCUGGAGGCAGGCAGGGGAGAAUGGAAGUCCCGGUGUAGCGGUGAAAUGCGCAGAUAUCGGGAGGAACACCGGUGGCGAAGGCGGUUCUCUGGGCCUGUGCUGACGCUGAGGAGCGAAAGCGUGGGGAGCGAACAGGAUUAGAUACCCGGGUAGUC